GACUCGUGUUGUAAGUUCUAGCCUUCGAAAUUUUUGGAGCCGUCAUACCUCGUCUUGAGCUUCGAGUAAUCUUUUUACUUGCAAGAUAUGCUUGCUAUCACAGCCCAUUAUGAAAGACCCAGGUGUUAGUAACGAAUAAUCAGAGGCAAGAAAGAUGAUUCUCUGUUGUGUCAAGAUACAGCUAAGAAGCAGAAGUAUGUUAUCGACAGAAAAACAAAGAAAUGACUAAAACAUCUACUCACUUGGCUCAGAGGCCGGUCUAAUAAUAUGCUUCGUAUUACACAACUCGAAUUCCUAGAAAGUAGUGAAA